rnacentral:rRNA from 1 species
GAUGAACGCUGGCGGCGUGCCUAAUACAUGCAAGUCGAGCGAACGGACGAGAAGCUUGCUUCUCUGAUGUUAGCGGCGGACGGGUGAGUAACACGUGGAUAACCUACCUAUAAGACUGGGAUAACUUCGGGAAACCGGAGCUAAUACCGGAUGAUAUUUUGAACCGCAUGGUUCAAAAGUGAAAGACGGUCUUGCUGUCACUUAUAGAUGGAUCCGCGCUGCAUUAGCUAGUUGGUAAGGUAACGGCUUACCAAGGCAACGAUGCAUAGCCGACCUGAGAGGGUGAUCGGCCACACUGGAACUGAGACACGGUCCAGACUCCUACGGGAGGCAGCAGUAGCGAAUCUUCCGCAAUGGGCGAAAGCCUGACGGAGCAACGCCGCGUGAGUGAUGAAGGUCUUCGGAUCGUAAAACUCUGUUAUUAGGGAAGAACAUAUGUGUAAGUAACUGUGCACAUCUUGACGGUACCUAAGCAGAAAGCCACGGCUAACUACGU